rnacentral:rRNA from 1 species
UACGGGGGGUGCGAGCGUUGUCCGGAAUCACUGGGCGUAAAGGGCGCGUAGGUGGUUUGAUAAGGGUGUGGUGAAAGUCCGGGGCUCAACCCCGGAUCUGCCGUGCCGACUGUCAAACUCGAGGGCUGUAGAGGCAGACGGAAUUCCGGGUGUAGCGGUGGAAUGCGUAGAGAUCCGGAGGAAGACCGGUGGCGAAGGCGGAUCUCUGGACAGUUCCUGACGCUGAGGCGCGAAGGCCAGGGGAGCAAACGGG